rnacentral:lncRNA from 1 species
UUAAUUAGCAUCGUCUUCACCCAUUUUGUUUCUCUCAGGUGUAGUGAUGAGCCACUUCUAGUUCUUAGUGACUCUGAGAUGACUGCAACCUAUUUGCUCUGUUAGUCAUUGGAGCAGUGCACCUAGAAGGCCAUGCUGCUGUUUUAGGAUGAGAUUAACGUAUAGAAUUUACCUUUCAAGGAGAUCAGUCAAUUGGAGAGAAUUCCUCAGGUUAUCCUAGAGAUUAUCCAAAGCCAAAAAGACUGUUGGCUGAAGGCCAGUAGCUUCCCUCAGCAGUCCAGAGAGCACUCUUGGUACCAUAUUCUGCUGAACUCUGAUUAUAUUCAAUGGGGAUCAGGCCUCUACUCCACCCUAGAAUGCCUGUUGCUCUCAAAGGAAAUAAGGUACAAUUUCAUUAUGGCAAAGCAGUCUGUCCAUAAUACUCUCUUUUCAGAAGACUAGCUCUUGCUACACUCACAGUGGGCUUUAGCCUUCCCAGUAACUCGUG